GGAAUCUUCCGCAAUGGGCGACAGCCUGACGGAGCAAUGCCGCGUGAGUGAUGAAGGUUUUCGGAUCGUAAAGCUCUGUUGCCAGGGAAGAACGCUUGGGAGAGUAACUGCUCUCAAGGUGACGGUACCUGUGAAGAAAGCCCCGGCUAACUACGUGUCAGCAGCCGCGGUAAGACGUAGGGGGCAAGCGUUGUCCGGAAUUAUUGGGCGUAAAGCGCGCGCAGGCGGUCAUGUAAGUCUGGUGUUUAAUCCCGGGGCUCAACCCCGGAUCGCACUGGAAACUGUGUGACUUGAGUGCAGAAGAGGAGAGUGGAAUUCCACGUGUAGCGGUGAAAUGCGUAGAGAUGUGGAGGAACACCAGUGGCGAAGGCGACUCUCUGGGCUGUAACUGACGCUGAGGCGCGAAAGCGUGGGGAGCAAAC
rnacentral:rRNA from 1 species